GUCUACGGCCUUGCCACCCUGAACACACAUGAUCCUGUCUGAUCUCGGAAGCUAAGCACAGUUGGGCCUAGUUAGUAUGUGAAUGGGAGACCACCUAGGAAGACUGGGUGCUGUAGGUG
rnacentral:rRNA from 1 species